rnacentral:rRNA from 1 species
GCGAUACGUCAGGCUACACAUGCAAGUCGAACGGUAGCAACGAAGCAGCUUGCUGCUUCGCUGACGAGUGGCGGACGGGUGAGUAAUGUCUGGGAAACUGCCCGAUGGAGGGGGAUAACUACUGGAAACGGUAGCUAAUACCGCAUAACGUCGCAAGACCAAAGAGGGGGACCUUCGGGCCUCUUGCCAUCGGAUGUGCCCAGAUGGGAUUAGCUAGUAGGUGGGGUAACGGCUCACCUAGGCGACGAUCCCUAGCUGGUCUGAGAGGAUGACCAGCCACACUGGAACUGAGACACGGUCCAGACUCCUACGGGAGGCAGCAGUGGGGAAUAUUGCACAAUGGGCGCAAGCCUGAUGCAGCCAUGCCGCGUGUGUGAAGAAGGCCUUCGGGUUGUAAAGUACUUUCAGCGGGGAGGAAGGCGGUAAGGUUAAUAACCUUGUCGAUUGACGUUACCCGCAGAAGAAGCACCGGCUAACUCCGUGCCAGCAGCCGCGGUAAUACGGAGGGUGCAAGCGUUAAUCGGAAUUACUGGGCGUAAAGCGCACGCAGGCGGUCUGUCAAGUCGGAUGUGAAAUCCCCGGGCUCAACCUGGGAACUGCAUUCGAAACUGGCAGGCUUGAGUCUCGUAGAGGGGGGUAGAAUUCCAGGUGUAGCGGUGAAAUGCGUAGAGAUCUGGAGGAAUACCGGUGGCGAAGGCGGCCCCCUGGACGAAGACUGACGCUCAGGUGCGAAAGCGUGGGGAGCAAACAGGAUUAGAUAUUUUUGGUUUUCAAA